rnacentral:pre_miRNA from 1 species
CAGUGUGAAGAAAUGAGGCUGUCAUGCAUGAUCUAACAGUGAUUUACACACACAGUUAAGCGUACAUCAGAUCUGACGAUUAGUCAAUCGACUGUACGCCAACAGUGCCGAUUAAUCAGAGCUAGAUCAUGCUGGCAGCUUCACUCAUUCACACG